CUUCUUCUUCUUCUUCUUCUUCUUAAUUUGACAUUUCAAAAUUUAAAAGAAAAAAAAAGUACAACAAACAUAAAGACCCCAUAUCAAGAAACGCAGCUUUGCCGACGGAUACGUCGAGGCAAGAGUGUGAUGAUUUUCCACCCUAAAUAAUUGUGAAAACAAAACAUCAAUGGAUUAGCCGUCGGGGAAUUCUGAUUGGUCGACUCACGUCAAAUGCAUGAGAUACAGCCAAA